CAGGUGAUUGAAAAUUCCUGAAGCAUUUUCUGGAAUAGAAUGGGGUAGUGAAGACCUAUGUCAGCUGUCAAAGGACUCUGAAAACCAAGAGAGCUACCUGCUGUAUAAAGGCUGGCCUGAUGGCAUUGCUGAGCACCUAGAAACUCUGGAGAGGAGAUCAACAGUUCUGUUUUAUCUUACCUCUUGACCUGAUUUUACCCUCAGAAAACCAGCCAGAACCAUCCUCUUGAAUGUAGGCCCAGAAUGGAGUCCUCAGAGAUACAGGGGAUUGUGAUGCCAGCAGCCAAGGAUUGAAAGUGACUAACAGAAGCCCUAGCACAUCUCUUUAGAUCGAGCAAACUAGUGGUUCUUUCUGAGCUGCUUCUCUGUUGACUUGCUUCCCCAUAGUCUCCUGUAGAAAAACCACCACCAUAUAUUACCCACUGCUACACCUGUAUUGUGACUGACAUUUCCAGAAGGCUCCAAGAAUAGGCAGUCACUCUUUCUGUAGCAUGCUAAGGAAAGUCAAGUAAGAUGGUUCAUUUAUCUUUGGGCUUAAGUCAUUUAACCUCUAAGCCUGUCCAAAAAGCUCUUGAAGGGUAGGGAUUUUCCUACUUCACCUCUGUACUAUUUCUCAGCAAGUACCUACCUACCCCUGCCUGAGGUGCUCAAUAAAGGUUUGGUUAAGUGAUGAAUAGUCCCACUCUGGUAGCUUCUAUCAGCUUUGGGAGAGCUAGGAUCCUCCUAUCUAGCUCCAACUUUGCCUCAAGCUAUACCAGGCCAGCAUUUAUCCUGCCUUUUUUUCUAAAAUAUUAGAAAGUCAUUCUUUGAUAGGCUUCUAAUUUCCUGUGGCCUAGAUCAGGUAAUUUACUCUAAACUUCCUAGUCAGUGGGCCCUCCACUACUCAACUCUUCCCUAAUGCUAUAUGGUUAUCCCAACAAAGGAACUGACCAAGUAUAAGGACUCAGUUUUAGGGAAGGAGCCUGUCUGCUUUUCAAAUAUAUAUGGGACAUCCUAAAUGGAACUUGGCUUUAUUUCAGGAAUACGAUACAAUGAAAAAGUAGAUUUAUACUCCGCGAGUUUCUCAA